UGAUCCUGGCUCAGAACGAACGCUGGCGGCAGGCCUAACACAUGCAAGUCGAGCGCACUCUUCGGAGUGAGCGGCGGACGGGUUAGUAACGCGUGGGAACGUGCCCUUCUCUAAGGAAUAGCCACUGGAAACGGUGAGUAAUACCUUAUACGCCCUUCGGGGGAAAGAUUUAUCGGAGAAGGAUCGGCCCGCGUUAGAUUAGAUAGUUGGUGGGGUAACGGCCUACCAAGUCUACGAUCUAUAGCUGGUUUUAGAGGAUGAUCAGCAACACUGGGACUGAGACACGGCCCAGACUCCUACGGGAGGCAGCAGUGGGGAAUCUUGGACAAUGGGCGCAAGCCUGAUCCAGCCAUGCCGCGUGAGUGAUGAAGGCCUUAGGGUCGUAAAGCUCUUUCGCCAGAGAUGAUAAUGACAGUAUCUGGUAAAG
rnacentral:rRNA from 1 species